rnacentral:rRNA from 1 species
GACGAACGCUGGCGGCGUGCCUAAUACAUGCAAGUUGAGCGCUGAAGGUUGGUACUUGUACCAACUGGAUGAGCAGCGAACGGGUGAGUAACGCGUGGGGAAUCUACCUUUGAGCGGGGGACAACAUUUGGAAACGAAUGCUAAUACCGCAUAAAAACUUUAAACACAAGUUUUAAGUUUGAAAGAUGCAAUUGCAUCACUCAAAGAUGAUCCCGCGUUGUAUUAGCUAGUUGGUGAGGUAAAGGCUCACCAAGGCGAUGAUACAUAGCCGACCUGAGAGGGGGAUCGGCCACAUUGGGACUGAGACACGGCCCAAACUCCUACGGGAGGCAGCAGUAGGGAAUCUUCGGCAAUGGACGAAAGUCUGACCGAGCAACGCCGCGUGAGUGAAGAAGGUUUUCGGAUCGUAAAACUCUGUUGGUAGAGAAGAACGUUGGUGAGAGUGGAAAGCUCAUCAAGUGACGGUAACUACCCAGAAAGGGACGGCUAACUACGUG